rnacentral:rRNA from 1 species
CCCGUCACACCAUGGGAGCGGGUUGCUCCAGAAGUCACUACGCCAACACGCAAGUGAGGCAGGUGCCUAAGGAGUGGCUCGUGACUGGGGUGAAGUCGUAACAAGGUACCC